CCUUACUACAUGGAUAACCGUGGUAAUUCUAGAGCUAAUACAUGCUAAAAACCCCGACUUCGGAAGGGGUGUAUUUAUUAGAUAAAAAACCAAUGCCCUUCGGGGCUCCUUGGUGAUUCAUAAUAACUUAACGAAUCGCAUGGCCUUGUGCCGGCGAUGGUUCAUUCAAAUUUCUGCCCUAUCAACUUUCGAUGGUAGGAUAGUGGCCUACCAUGGUUUCAACGGGUAACGGGGAAUUAGGGUUCGAUUCCGGAGAGGGAGCCUGAGAAACGGCUACCACAUCCAAGGAAGGCAGCAGGCGCGCAAAUUACCCAAUCCCGACACGGGGAGGUAGUGACAAUAAAUACUGAUACAGGGCUCUUUUGGGUCUUGUAAUUGGAAUGAGUACAAUUUAAAUCCCUUAACGAGGAACAAUUGGAGGGCAAGUCUGGUGCCAGCAGCCGCGGUAAUUCCAGCUCCAAUAGCGUAUAUUAAAGUUGUUGCAGUUAAAAAGCUCGUAGUUGAACCUUGGGCCUGGCUGGCCGGUCCGCCUCACCGCGUGCACUGGUCCGGCCGGGCCUUUCCUUCUGGGGAGCCGCAUGCCCUUCACUGGGUGUGUCGGGGAACCAGGACUUUUACUUUGAGAAAAUUAGAGUGUUCAAAGCAGGCCUAUGCUCGAAUACAUUAGCAUGGAAUAAUAGAAUAGGACGUGUGGUUCUAUUUUGUUGGUUUCUAGGACCGCCGUAAUGAUUAAUAGGGAUAGUCGGGGGCAUCAGUAUUCAAUUGUCAGAGGUGAAAUUCUUGGAUUUAUUGAAGACUAA
rnacentral:rRNA from 1 species